ACAAGGGGAUCUCAGUUUGGUCGAUUCGAGAAACGACCUUUUUCUAGCCAAAUUUUCUAACGUGGAUGACAGAGAUUUUGCACUGUUUGGAGUGCCUUGGAUGAUAGCAGAUCACUACCUUACGGCGCGACAAUGGCAUCUGAGUUUUGAUCCGUUUGAAGCAACCAUCGAGAAGGUAGCGGUAUGGGUGAGACUUCCAGAUUUGGAGAUGGAAUAUUAUGAUAACUCGGUAUUAUGGAAAAUUGGGAAUCACAUUGACCGGAAUUAAAAGAUUGAUCGAACAACUUCGAUUGGCUCGAGAGGUAAUUAUGCUAGGACUUGUGUGGAGGUUGAUUUGACCAAACCUCUGUUAUCAAAAUCCAAAUUGAGGGGUGGGAGAUUAGACAGAGGCCUGGGCAAUCGGCAAUUCAGAUUGAAAUUCCCAGAGCUGCAGAUCAAAGUUCUUCGGCGUAUAAAAGUCUGGUCAUCACCCUUUGUUAAUUCAGUUUCAGCAUAGCAGAGAUUUGAGGUAGAGAGGGGAUAGACCAUCCAGGUUCGAAGCAGCUUGGGUUACACAUGAGAAGUUUGGAUUAUUUAUGCAGGAGAAUUGGAGAAAGGAUUCUGACUUGGUCUUAGCUUUGAAAGACAUGACUUGUAUAGACUAAAAGCAUGCAAUAAGGAUGUUUUUGGCAACAUUUUUAAGCACAGAAAAAAAGAAAAGAAAGAAUUUUGGCUAGACUGAGAGGUAUUCAGAGAGUGCUUCAUGGUGGUAGAAAUCAGUUUUUGCUAGAAUUGGAAAAGCAGUUGGAUAAAGAACACAACCAGGCGUUGAGACGAGGAAAUUCUUUGGUGUCAAAAAUCUCGAUGUUAGAGGAUUUUGAGUGGGGAUAGGAACACCAGUUAUUUCCACACGAAAGCCAUUACAAGAAGACAUAAAAAUCAAAUUGCUGGCCUGAAGGAUGCUGGCAGUCGAUGGGUAUGGGAUGAGGAAAAGCUUCAGUAUAUGGCCACGGAAUCUUGCAGAAAACUACUCACCGAGGAAGGAGGUAAUUACAAUGGAGAUCCUUUCUUUGCUGAUUUCCCCAGGACAGAUUGUAUAAGCAAAGACAGAUUGGUGGUUAACUUGACGGCUGAGGAAGUGAGGAAAGCUGUCUUUGACAUGAAACCGUUAAAAGCUCCAGGCCCUGGUGGUUUUCAGACCUGUUUUUACCGGUCUCAUUGGAUUGUGGUGGGACAGGAUGUUUUCCAGUUUGUCAGAUCUAUUUUCAACAAUGAGCAGGAUUCAUCAAGGAUGAGUCAUUUGAAUUUAGUCUUAAUCCCUAAGAUGCCGAAGCCUGAAUUCCUUUAUUAAUCCAGAUCAAUUGGCUUCUGCAACAUUACCAGAACUGAAUCCUUUCAACUCGAGCCUUGCUUCAGGUCAAUCUUCAAGUCAGGUUUCAUAACUAUAUGAUAUAACUAGUAUAAAAUAGAUGGAAAAAAGUUGAUAUUGGAUUAAUAUAUGUUAACAUUUUUCUCAAAUUUGGAAAUAGAUUUUACAAUAUCUGUUCUUCAUUUAAAAUUAAGAUUAAUCGAGCUCUAAGAUUACUGCUAAAUAUUGUUAAAAAACAACACUGCUAAAUGCUAAACAUUUCGUGGCAGCAGGUUCAUGUCAGCUCUUCAUACCAGCAUGCUAGAAGAAGUUGUUGCCAGGUUAUUGAAAUUGAUGGUUUGUAGGCAUAUCUUGUAUGCUCCACGCGACAGAAAUAUUUUCAUCCUUUUCAGAGCACAACUUACAGAUCAAUUUUAGAAAUGCAGAAAUUAAAGAGGGCUCAAAAGUCACAGGUCUUUGCUAGUUGACUGCUCUCAAUACUUCAAAUCAAAGCUUAUCUGGUUCGAAAGUAGCAUUUGCGUAGAAGCCAUUUCGUGUUUGAGCAGACAAGUUACCGUUGAAACCUCUACUCUUGAGAUUCUAUCCUCCUUGAGCAGUUAAAGCAAAAGGCAGAAAAGGACGGCUGUGCCCAUGCAGUAAUCAAGUUAAAGCCAGCCGAACCGCAGCACAUAGCAAAACCAAAUCAAUUGUUGGCAUCCAUAUCCAUGCUAAUUCAUGUUCAGCUACAAUGAUUAGUCUCCACUUGCCUGCAACAAGAAAUCUCAACAGAAUUUUCUGUCGCUAAUGCUUAAUCUUCAGGCAAGUUCAAGUGA